rnacentral:rRNA from 1 species
AUGAACCUUGCUGGACGAAGAAUCCUCGUUCGCAGUGUACUGUCAGCACUCCCAACCUUUGCGAUGACGGUUCUGCUACUACCAAAGAAGCUUCUAAAGGAUAUUGACAAGACCAGACGGCGUUUCCUUUGGGCGCAAGAUGAAGAGCUGUCGGGCGGCAAGUGCAAAAUAAACUGGAAAACUGUUUGC